rnacentral:snoRNA from 1 species
AGAUGAUGAUGUUGCCAACUAUUUGGAUGAUGUGGAUACCGUG